rnacentral:rRNA from 1 species
AAUGAACGUUGGCGGCGUGGAUUAGGCAUGCAAGUCGUGCGGAAAGGCCCCGCAAGGGGUGCUCGAGCGGGCGAAAGGGAUAGUAACACGUAGGUACCCACCCUUGGGACGCGGAUAGCCGGGGGAAACUCCGAUUAAUUACGCGAUGACGUCUUCGGACCAAAGGUGUGAUUCCGCCUGAGGACGGGCCUGCGUCCUAUCAGCUAGUUGGUGAGGUAACGGCUCACCAAGGCAACGACGGGUAGCGGGUGUGAGAGCACGACCCGCAUCACUGGGACUGAGACACUGCCCAGACACCUACGGGAGGCUG